ACCAUUCUGAACAAUUUCCAAAUUGAAAAUAAUUGCUCUGUUACUCCAUGAUACGGCAGUCUGGGUUCUGAAACACACUCAGGCAAUGAAGCAUAUCCCCCAGAAAAGCUGGCUUCGUCAUCCUGCAACGUGGACCUCACUUCAGUUUUCACAGCAGAAUGCUACUUCGCUUUCAGUUAACUUGUUCUCCAGCAGUAGCUGAGAAUGCUGUGUGGACGCUUGAUGCGCUGACCGGGGAGCACACCCUUGAUCUGCUCCAGCCCUGCCAGCCCCGACUGCUCUGCUGAACGUCUGAGUCGCUGGGAUGAAAGACACACCAAGUCUACCUUUCAAGGACCCGCCACGGAGGAUGGGGAUGAGGAGAUGGAGAAUCUUGACCAUCUCCCGCUCGGCCUCAUGCACACUGGUUUUCUAACACGGAAAUGUUAGCGUGGAAAAAAAAUGCCCAUCUUAGACCUGAGAACAUCACACCAUCCCUGAAUCUCUCUCAGUCCACCCAAAGUAAACAAACUGUCUAAACAAAGUGUCCUUGCUCUGUAAGUGCCACUUAAUCAUUUCCCUUGUCCCAUAUUGCAAACAGAUUUCUUCUUUUUUUUAAUAUUCUUUUUCAUUUUCUUUUUCAAUGUAGGUCGUUACACUAGAGUUCCCUGUGCUGUACAGUAGGCCCUUGCUGUUUAUGUAUUUUAUAUACAGUAGUAUGUAUCUGCAAGAUUUCUUCUUUUAGAAAGAAAUUCAGGUGCAUCUACAGCAAAAAUGUCUCGAUGAGCUAUCCUGCCAAAAUAAUGCUGCGAGGGGACCUCAAAGCUCAGUGGCUAAAACCACCAGCAUUUGCUCUGUCACUCUCAGCUCCGCAGGCUGGCGGCAGCUGAUCUGAAAUGGGCCCAUCCAGGUGCUGUGGGUUGGACUCAGGUCUGUGGCAUGUGUGUUCAUUCUGGGACCCAGGCUGAAGGCACCACUCUAUUUGCAACAGGCUUUUUAAAAUUUUUUCCAGCAGAUUUCCAAAGCAGAAGAGCCAAGCCCAGAUGCACAAGCUCAUUUCAAACCUCUUCACGUCCUGUCCACUAACAUUCCAUUGGCUAUAGAAAAACAUAUGGCCAAGCUGAGCAUCAGUGGCUCAGGAAAAUAAACUUCACCCACGCAGGAAAGGGAAAGAAAGAAAUAUUUGCUGAACCAUAAUUCAAGCUAUCACAAAAAAGGCAUUUGAAAAAAGAGACUAAAAGAACAGUUAAAUAGAGAUGGGGCGUUAUUUUUUUUAGCUCCUUCUUGAAUUAACCUGGGCAACACUGUUUCUUCCAUGCAUCCAGUUUUUCUUCAGAGAUUGUCCCCUCUUGCUCUUUCUGUCCCCUCCAUCCUCAUCCCAAGAGGCUAGCAUGUGACCCAAAGAGCAAGUUGAGGUCCCUUUGUCACAGUGACUAGUGUAUCUUAGGACAAGGCUGGUCAGCUGGGACAAGGACUCACUUUUCUUUUUAAGUCACGUGCAAAGCCGUAUCUUCUUCUGGAUUCUCAAAUUUUGUGAGUCAAUUAAUGUCUAGGCUUGAUGGACUUUCUAUGUAGGAACUUGACCACAGAUAGGAUCUUGAUUGACACAGAGACCAUCACCAGGAGUGCGGUGCAGUAAGUAACAGAUCUAAAAUAUGAAAAUGCUAAGCUGAGUAAAUAGAUUGGAAAGCACUGCGAGCUCCUUAUUCACAGCACCGAAGCUGAUACGCCAGGUUAUUCGGGACACAGCCAUCUCUCAGACUGCCACUUCUCAGGCUUUGCACCACAUGCCCACAGACGUGGCUGCACUGGGGAAGCUGAUAGGAGAAAUUCAGUAUACUGGAACAUAUGAACCGCUUUUUGUGGCCUUUUAAAAGGUACAAUAAAUGUCCCACCAGAAUUGGAUAAACAUACGUUAAAGCUGGUGCACCUGAAAUCAAAGAGGAAGGAAUGUACAAUUUCGAUGAAAGAUGACCUUCCGCAUGAAAGCUGUAGAGUGAGGACAUUGACCAUUGGGUAGUCUGGGUCUCUGCAGGGUUGGUGAAGUUUAUUCUCUCUCCCAAUCAACAGCGUGUGCCAACCAAAUCAGGAAGGUAGGAACCAUGUCGGAAGAUGUUACGAGGAAAUGAGGCAAAUUAAUUUUCUGAUCAUUGCCACGUUCUUUCUGCUCUGUUUCCUCUGUGACAAAGAGGAUGGCCACCCAUACUGCAAAGGCACAGGUGGCUGCUCCCCAUGAGUUCCCAUGAGUUCCAGAGGACUUCCCUUGCCUCGACCAUUGUGUCAACGAGGCAAUGCAAGGAUGAAGAUCACUAAAGGAAGGAUUUCAGGGAUGGACAAGGCAACCAUCCUAUUCCUGAGAAACAGGAAUUCUCCAGCAGGAUUUUAACUUACACGAUCCUGACCCAUCAAAAUCUCUGACUUUGGAUACUAGUCUCUGGAGUUCUAACCUAAAACAUUUCUAAAGGAGUAAUCAGAAUAUUUAGUUUCUAAGAAAGCCCUCAGAUGUGAGAAAUAGCCACCAAAAAAUGGGCUAAUAUGGGGGCAUUUUCAUCAAUGCCUUUCUAGGAUACGGCCACAGAGGACAAUAGAUCGGGAAGAUUCUACCAAAAAACUGAAAAGUUGGCCACAAGGGCAAAGGACAGGAGUACAGACAGCCAGACCAGCUGAGCAAGCACUCGUUCUAUGUGGGACAGGAAGUCCUUACUGUUCCUGCCCAGCUGCAUAUACAUUCAAUCACGCAUUCAUUCGACAAACACUGGUUACCUACCAUGUCCCAGACAAUGUUACAGAAUUAAUCAGUGAACAAAACAGAAGUUUAUUAUGUGCAAUGAAGCAGUGACUACUAAUGUUUCCCAUCCCAUCCUGGUUUUUGUUCUUUUUCCACGAUUGUAUUGAGGGUGUUGGGUGCCUGGUUGUGAGGACUGCACAUCACCCAGUAGCCCUAAACCUGGUGUAGGGUUCAGCCUUCACAUAAAAUUUUAAUUUCUUUUUCUGGGGUUUGAGUGAGUGUGUCAAUGUGGACAUUAAAGCAAGGAAAAAGCAUACAUAGUACUAAUAUUGUACAUGAGUGUUAGACAGCUGAGAGGUGUAUCCUAGUAGAGGGUUGUUGUUUAUAUGUUUCCUCUUUUUUUUUUAAGAGCAGACUUCAUAUUUUGUUUGGGGCCCACUCCUUCCUCUCUCGGUCCACGUUUUCCGGACAUGUAUCUAUUUACAGCCCUAGGAAUGGAAGCCGAAGCGAAUCACCGCGUUGCGUUCUGCUCACAGUGGUUGACUCAGGGAUGGGUAUGACCAGAGCAAGUUCCAUUAAGGUAAAUCCCAGGACUCUGAGAAGGCUGGGAAAGAUGCUCACCAGUUCCCACUGGAUCUGAACCUCAGAUUAUGUGGUCUCCUGGGCUUCUGUCAAACACAUACUCCACUGAUCAUGAGUAAGGAUGCAAAACAGGCGGAAGCUCCUGGUUCAGGUACAAAAGGAGCCAGAAAAGACGCUAGAAGUUCAGAGACUGAACUUGUUCAGUACUGAGAGCAGCCUCGGAAUAUCGAACCCAACGAUAAAGAAGGAUGAAUUCUCAGACGGCAGAGAAAGGAUUUCCUUUCCACACGUGAUCAGAGAGAGAAGGGGAGUGAGAAGAUGCGGCCAAGAAGUCAAUGACAGAUCAGCAGAUUUGAGAUUUAAAUUCUUAAUACUUUUGUUUUCUGAAAGCCUUGGAAAGAAAUCUAAAGAAAGAAAAGAAACCAAAUGCCAAACAUGUUCAUUCGGAUGGUGACUGAACUGCAGUCCUGUUUCUCUGAUGAGCACUCCUGCUCUGAGCCCCUCUGAAGAAGGAGCCACGCUGGAGUGACGGCUUGGUGUGGACCCCGGGGCCACUGCUCCUGUGUGUGUGUGUGUGUGUGUGUGUGAUUACCAAAAGGGGAAACACUUCAGACUGGAGGGAAAAACCACCUCAUAGUAGGCCCCGGGCAUUUAUUUA